GCCAGCAUAGCUUAAUUUAAAGCAUAGCACUGAAGAUGCUAAGAUGGGUCCUAAAAACCCCUGCAGGCA
rnacentral:tRNA from 1 species